CAGUCGCCGCGGUAAUACGAAGGGUGCAAGCGUUACUCGGAAUUACUGGGCGUAAAGCGUGUGUAGGUGGUUGUUUAAGUCUGUUGUGAAAUCCCCGGGCUCAACCUGGGAAUGGCAAUGGAUACUGGCAAGCUAGAGUGUGUCAGAGGAUGGUGGAAUUCCCGGUGUAGCGGUGAAAUGCGUAGAGAUCGGGAGGAACAUCAGUGGCGAAGGCGGCCAUCUGGGACAACACUGACGCUGAGGCACGAAAGCGUGGGGAGCAAACAGGAUUAGAGACCCCCGUAGUCCCUGUCUCUUAUAA
rnacentral:rRNA from 1 species